GGGAAGGGAGGUGAAAGCUGGUUUGCCGGGGCCACCCAGUGUGGGCUCAGCUCAGGAAGGGAAGGAAUGUGACUGAGGCUGGGUGUGGCUAGGGAGAGCACAGCCAGUUGUGGGUUUUUCUUGGGGCCCAGAGAGCCGUGAACAGAGAUGGAGGCCCCGCUCUCCCAGCCCCCGGCACACACACUAGGACCUUUCUUCG
rnacentral:lncRNA from 1 species